UCCUAUAAGACUGGAUACYGGAAACCGGAGCUAAUACCGGAUAAUGCUUUUGAACUCAUGUUCUUAAGCUGAAAGAUGGCUUCUCGCUAUCACUUAUAGAUGGGCCCGCGGCGCAUUAGCUAGUUGGUGAGGUAACGGCUCACCAAGGCCACGAUGCGUAGCCGACCUGAGAGGGUGAUCGGCCACACUGGGACUGAGACACGGCCCAGACCCUACGGGAGGCAGCAGUAGGGAAUCUUCCGCAAUGGACGAAAGUCUGACGGAGCAACGCCGCGUGAGUGAUGAAGGUUUUCGGAUCGUAAAACUCUGUUGUUAGGGAAGAACAAGUACCGGAGUAACUGCCCGGUACCUUGACGGUACCUAACCAGAAAGCCACGGCUAACUACGUGCCAGCAGCCGCGGUAAUACGUAGGUGGCAAGCGUUGUCCGGAAUUAUUGGGCGUAAAGCGCGCGCAGGCGGUUCCUUAAGUCUGAUGUGAAAGCCCCCGGCUCAACCGGGGAGGGUCAUUGGAAACUGGGGAACUUGAGUGCAGAAGAGAAGAGCGGAAUUCCACGUGUAGCGGUGAAAUGCGUAGAGAUGUGGAGGAACACCAGUGGCGAAGGCGGCUCUUUGSYCUSUAACUGACGCUGASSCGCGAAAG
rnacentral:rRNA from 1 species